GGAGCAGAGCAGGAUGUUCCUGACAGCUGUGCAAGAGACGGAGAGUCGCUCAGCCCUUCUGCGCCCUGGUCCGCGUCGCACACGGGCAUUCUCACCUCCGGGGCACUGUGAGGCCUCCGUGAGCCGAGCAGGGAGUGGCUGCCCAGCCUGCGGCGUUGGCGUGGUGCCCCUGUUCCGUGGUGGAAUCUUGGCCAAGCCAGUGGAUGGAGAGCAAGGGCAUUCCAAGUGGAAGGAUCGGGGUUCGGCAGCUCCCAGGAGGAGCGUGCAGGAGCACUGGGGAAGCAUGCUUUGCCUUGACAUUGGGGCGGACGCCCCAAGGUUACACGGAAAGGGAAACUCAGUCUCCUGUGGCCUUGCUCAAGGUGCUCCCUCUGUACCACGACCCUCUCAUCUGCCGAAGAUGGGGCCGGAUACACCAGGGUCCCUUUGCACCUGAAUUGCUUCUAAUUCCUGGUCCUGAUGUGCCAUUGACCUGUGACACCUGCCCUGGC
rnacentral:lncRNA from 1 species